GGGGUUAUAGCUCAAUUUGUAAAGCACUUGCUUCGCAUGUGAGAGGCGUGGGGUUCAAUCCCUCACAUCUCCA
rnacentral:tRNA from 1 species